UGUUGUUGACAGCCAGGCGCGUGCUUCACUUUGAACACUCUUCAGACUUUUAUCCCAUAGAAUUGUAAUGAACAACGCACACCAUAAUGUUCUUAAGGAAGUGCAGUCCGGUACAGCAUUUCUGGAGGAAACGGUGACGGCCUUUUUUCCAUCGACCCCGAGAACGGACACCUGACCUUAGCGGCCACUCUGGAUUAUGAGAUCCGCCAGAAGCACGCCCUCGAGGUCUCAGCGGAGGCGGGGGCGGAGACGGCGCGAGUGGGCGUGACCUGGGAGGUGGAGGACGCAACGACAACCCGCCCACCUUCCCGUCACCGCCGCCCAGGGUCACGGUCAUCGAGGAGGACGAUUCCGUGACCUUCCCGCUGCGAUU